UUAUAACCUAUGAUCACAGAAAGUCCUGAUCCUCACGUUUCUCUGCUGUCACCUGUGGGCUCCUCCAGAGCCGUGAAGAAGGGGGAACUCCAGCCCCACCAUGACAAGACCGGGUCUUCUGCGCAUGGCGACUCCACCCAUGUGAGAGCUCUCUUAUGUGAGUCCUCAGCAGCACACUGUGCUGUCUGUGGUCUGUGGACACUGACUGCCAUCUAAGCAACACCACAGCUCCCUCCUCUCCCCCUAGACGCCACUGUCUUAGAGCCUCCAUGUGCAUUUGCUAUGACAUACAUCAGUGUUGAUGAGAGACAGGAACACUGCCGGGUGAUCUCGAGCUGCCAAAAUAAUCAGCUCUGUGCACAACAUGGCUUAAAGGAUUUUUCGGUUAGCAGCAUGCAUCCACUAAAGAACCUAGACACUCACAUUUUUUCUGGGGACUUCCACACUCUAGACUACUGUCACACGGCCAAGGCACCUUUGGCCGGUCCUGUGGAAAAACGGAUGUAUCGGAGCGUGGAGAACCUUCACUGGGCAACAGUUGCUGACUCUGGGCUGUAUUCUCACUGCCGGAGCCUGGAUAAUGAGAUCAUCUUUCGCUAUAGAGGCACCAGUCAGUGGACAGAAGGCUGUGUGGAUGUGGCCCCAGUAGAGAGCACGUCGGACUCUCUGAGAAACCUUUCUCUCCGUGCUAAACAGACGUCUCGAUCGGCACAGAAUGUGCUCCUCCCUCCCUUUGCCAAAGUGCCUCAGUGGCUCUUCCCUUCUGCAGAGGAGAGAGCCCUACAUGGGGAUGCCAAAAAAGAGCUGAAGGAGAAGCUGAGGCUGCACAGCAGUAAGGUGGCAGAGCCCUGUAAGCCAGUGCGUCCCCAGGUGGCCCUGCCCGACCUGAUGGCCCAGGAGUUCUUUGAGUGCCAGGUGUGUCGGCAGUGCAAGAACGGUUGUGCUGUCAACUAUUGCACGGUGUUGGUGGAACACACUGCCCUCAGGCACAGCCUCACAGGGAGACAGGGACUGUGCUUUGCACACAGGAUCAUCAGUCCAGAAGACAUCAAGCAGGAGGCUCAGAGGAGGCUUCAGCUCCGAAGGCAGAAUAGCUCCCCCAGUUUGCCCCUUCAGCACACGGGGGAAAGCCAUGAGAUGGGCAAAUCCAGAACAGCAGAAACCCUAGAGCAAUACAGUGGGGAAACAAAUGGCAAAGUCACAUUGGGACAGAGCAAGAAAGGUCGCUGUAAAGGGAGGCUCUACAUACCCACCUUUGAGGAAUUUAAGCAGAUGAGAAGAAAGGAAGGAAAUUCAUCUGCCAGCAGCAGUGGGACAACUGAGUGCUUGAAUAAGAGUCUGCCUGCAAACCAGACACUGGAGGAGGAAAAGAAUGUCUGUCCAGAAGCUUUGGGGACCAAAGCUGUCAAUGAAUCUGCUGUCACAGCGGAGGAUGAUGACAAUGUAUUCCAUGAAAACCACACCUCUGCUGGCUUUUCCCAGUAUCCAGCCACAUGGGAUGGUUUCAGGAUGAGCAGUCCUGAGCUGAAGGACAAAACCUUCCAGACCUCUAGCCCAGAUACAUCGCCAGUCCCUAUUUGCUCCAGUCCAAUUCCACGAUCACCUUUACAGGCAGUAGCAGUACACAGAACUGGGCAGGAGAUCUUGAGUGAUGAGCAGCAGAAAGGAGAGACAAGAAAAUUAAAUGAUGUCCUCCACCUUGCAGGGCAGUCCCUGCCCUCUGAAGCCCAAUCCUCUUGCUGUUCAUCACUGCUCUUAGAAGCUACAGACUUAUCCAGCUAUGGAGCUAAGCUACAAAAAAUGAAGGAUGAAUUCAUAGGUUCAGCCUUGGAACUUAUUAAGAAAAGCUGCAAUGCUGAGACUGCUGCCAAAUCCCCCUCUAAGGGACAGUGUGAUCUGAAGGAAGCUGAUCUCCCACCUCCAGAGGACAGCCAGCGGUCCACAGCGAUGUCCAUGGCAACAGAGACCUGGGAGAACAAGCCAAGCAAUGAGGCAGCCAGCGCCACUCCACCUGCAGGGAAUACCCCCAGUCCUGGCUGUCGCCGAUCCAGCUCCGACAUCGUCCAUGAGAGCACGGAUGGUGCCAAGGCCCAGCGGGAGUGCCGGCUGCGGCCACACUUCAGUGACCCUAUGCCGACAGACUCGGUGAAGAGGAAGCAGCUGGAGCUGAAGAUUGCGGCUGCAGCGCGGCAGCACGCGCAGAAACGCCGGCAGGAGCGAGACUAUGGUCCAGUGGUAGCAAAAGCCAAUCUCGGCCAUGGUGGCAGCUUUGAUGAGACCCGCCGUGCCCCACGUGGCUCCCUCCGCUCCAGACACCAUUGGAGCAAUGUCAGCAGCCUGAGCACAGACAGUGGGAUUGUUGGUGUGAAUGAUGCCCGGGACGACCUGGAUCCCAGCGAGGGCACCCGGACCAAGUCAGCAGAUGUGGAGAGGGCAGAUAGUGGCAUUGGCCAAAUGCCAGCCAGGAAGUGGAGGAACAGGGCGUCUGAAACACUGAGCUCCCUGCAGGCCUGGGAAGCCCACCGUCCCUGCACUGACUGUGGAGAAAGGGACCUGCCGGUGGAGACAGAUGUUCAGAACUGCAACCAGAGGCGGGCUGACCUCUGUGAGAAGUGCCGCAAGCGCAGGACAGAGCGCAAGGAGUCUGUGCUGGAGUUUGUCAACACAGAGGCCAGCUAUGGAGAGGACCUGCGCAUCAUUAAAGAGGAGUUCUACCUCCCCAUGCAGGCGGCCGGGUUGCUGAGCCAGGAGCAGCUCCAGGGCAUCUUCAGCAACAUCCAGGAGCUCAUUGACCUCAAUGAGAACUUCCUGGAGAUACUUCAGGAAGAGAUCGAUCAGGCCUUUGACCAGGGGGAUGAUGACCUGAUGACUGUGUGCAUCGGAGAAAUAUUCCUAGAGUUUGUCAACAUGCUGCCGGCCUUCCAGACCUACUGCCUCCAGCAGUCCUCCUCCGUGAACAUGCUCAACGCACUGGAGAAGGAAAAGGAGUUGCUCAGAAUAUUCCUCAAUGUCUCCCAGAAUGACAACACAGCACUGCGGCGGAUGAACUUGAGGUCCUUCCUGAUGGCCCCUCUGCAAAGAGUCACCAAGUACCCACUGCUGCUCAGCAGAAUCAUCAAGGCCACCACCGAGUACCACCCGGAUCACGGCAGCCUGCGGGAGGCCAAGAGCCGCAUCGAGUCCCACCUGGAGCACAUCAACAUGAAAACCAAGCAGGAGGGGAACACAUGGACCCUCCGAUCCUUUCGCCAGGACAGCAAGAAGAAGAGGGAAGUCAUUAAUAUUGAGAUGAGAGAAACUGCCCUCAAAACUGUUGGUUGGCUGCGGGAGGAAACGCGAUUUGUGAUGGAGGGGUCUCUGCAGCUGGCCCAGCCCCCCGAUGGCCAGUGGGUGAAAAAAGGCAGCAAGACCCUGAAGUUCCAGAACAUGCAGGUUCUCCUCCUGGUGAACAUGAAGCGUGUGUCUGAGUCCAGCCUGGAAUCAGCCGAGCCAGGGCCUGUGAAGGAUGCCGUGCUGGUACUCAUCAGGGACAAAAAUAACGGGAAGUUCCAUUUGCUCAGGGAGCCCUUGAGGCUGAGUAAUUGCAUUGUCUCUACUGAUCCCGACUGUGACGACACUUUUGAACUCAUUGAGAUCAGGAGGGAGGCGUUUGUGUUCCGGGACAGCGACCGGGCACGGACUCACCACUGGUUCAGGCAGAUCAGGCGGUACUCCAGGGAGCUGGGCUCCUGGAAGAAGCGGCGGAAUGCGCUGCCCAACAUCAUGAUCAGCACUCCUCACACCAGGCCCUGAGUCCUGCAUGGGUUGACUUGGCUUGACCAAUGUCAUGUGCAGAGACCAUCAAGAGCCUCAGUGGCUUGAACUUGCUGUGCUCCGUGGACAACACAGGGAGGAGUCUGACCCCCAAAGACACUUAACAGCACUGGGAGCACCACAGCCUAAUGCUGGUCUCCAGCCUCAGGACUCACAACCAGUUUGUGACUCAUGUACAUACAGAAAUGGUCUCCCCUCGAGGAGCAGAUCACUGGAGGAAAAUACUGUUGAUAUUGCACUGCAGGAGAAUGAUGUAUGAUGCUUGCCAUUGCAUGGAUCGUGUUGAAAGCCAGUCUUGAUGAGAGAGGUUUCCACUACUGACUGUAUUUCAUCAGCAUUAGGCAUUUUAUUUUACAGGAGGAUUCAUACAAGCACAUUUGUGUAUUUCUCCAGAGAUCAACCAGCAUCAGUGGGCACUACAUGAAGGCAGACAGAAGCCACCUUCAUAAAGGUAGCCUUAGUCUUGUGAAGUCACCAAUGACACAAUCCCUGAGCAGGCCUCAAACUGUGCCCAGUGCUUUGUCCUCUGGCCACAGCUGCCAGGGCUUGUUACACUGCUCCAGGCACUGAGACAGAGACCAGCAGUGAGACAUACUGUGUCUCACUGUAUUUUCUCUUCAUCUGCUGUGUUUUCUCUUUAUCUGCACCAUCCAGCAUUCUGGUGCUUCAUUUUGUCCUAGAGGAAAUGGAAAGAUUUGCAUCAUCUGGAGGGUGCUCAAGACUUGAGGGUGGCUGCACAUAGCUGAGCACUAUAGUGAGCAAUAGCUGUCAAAAUGCUUGUCAGGGCAGCAGCCUGGCUCCCUCAGGUGAGCUGGAAUUCCCUCCAGCUAUUUCCUAGUUGCUAGACAAUAAUUGUUCAUUCCCCAAAAUACUGAACAGCCAGUGAAGAGCAUGAGGCAUUGCUUUAGUUUGCUGUUUGUUUUUCACAGAGAUGGAUGCCUGAGCAGAGCAGCUGCUGGAGGAAAAUUUCUCUUAUGCUGUCAUGACAGAUCUGCAUCUAUGAACCUUCAAGCCCCAUUCACCUCACACGUAAAAAGCAACAGCUUGUAGCACCUUUGUCUUCCCUGCCAGGAUCGCAAUGGUGCAGCCAUCUUCUCUUCAUUACCUCCGGGGCAGCUUUGACAAGGCAAGGCAUAGGUACAAGUAAGUGUAACAGAUUAAUUUAUCCAAACAGCAAGUGGCUUUCACAGCCACACAAAGCUGCUGCUUUCUGGAAAGUUUUCAAUUACUUUCCAGCACAAUGAUUUUCUCCACAUCAAUUCAUGCUCGAAAACCAGCUGUGGACUGUUUGUACAGUCAUAUCUUUCAAUCAAGAUACCUUCAGCCAGCCUGGCUGUUCAGAAAGGUUAGAGAACAAUAAGUAUACGUAAAAGGUCUGAUAUUUAGCAUCGAGCUUGUGUUUGGCUGAUUGUUCAAUUUGUUAGAUUCAGGGUAUUUCUAGGUAUCACAGGAAGCACCUGCCUGCCGGGCUCCAAGUUAUCAUGGCCUAUUUCCUCUGAACCAAGCAAACUGUCCCCAGAAGAGGGUCCAUAAAUAAUCACAGGGUGUUGAGUUACAAGCAGGACAUGUACUUGGUGCUGUAGUCCUGUCUAAAAAACCUGUGGCCAGGGAACAGUACGAGCCCUUUGAUCUGGGACAGCCUGCUAGGGGAAGCGACAGUGGGAUUGUUGAAGCUGUCAAACCAGACAGAGGCUGUGCUUCCAACACACGUGCUCCUUUUAUGUAUCCGAUGUGUACACAGCUGCUUGGCUGCCUGUAAAUUACAGGUGUUGAAAGGGAACUCGAGCAUGGAACAAUCCCUAUGGCCCUGGAGAGCCCGUGAUGUGGGGUGAGGCGGCACAGGAAGGGCGAGGAGUGCCAGCACACUGACAAGGCAGUAGAUUUCCAUAAUCCUUAGACACCUUUCUGAACUGCGUGAUCCCACUCCUGGGACGUUCCAGGUCUUUCAGCAUCACAUGUACACGUCUUACUUGGCAGCCAUGGAGAUUAGUUGUGCUGUAUUUUUCCAUUUCUGAUUAACAAACUGACAAAAUGCUAUUAUAACCCAGGGUACUUGGGAACAGGGUUGUCUGUAAGCCAAGAAAGCAAUUAUUUGUUCCAAACUCCAUCAUAUUUUUAUGCCUUUCAUUGUCAUGACUGACAAAGUACUAAGAUUACUUUUCAGGACUCCUGCCCACUGAACUUACCCAGCUAGUACAAACAGACCUUUCUGGAUGUACCACGUCACAGGGAGUAAGAGAAAGUUAGUUACUCCCUUGAUUUAUCAUAACUCAAAAAUGACCUUUAACAAGAAUUCAGUAUAAGCCUUACUGGUCAUUUACCAGGAAAACAACAAAAGGCAGUCUUUAUUUAUAGAGUUCAUAUAGUUUUGAGUUCUGAAGGCAGACACACAAGAAGACAAACACUGGAUUAAGAGCCCCCUGUGAGCUCAGGUCCCAAGGAAAGAAAAACAGCUCCUUUAUGAGUCACAAGGCUGGGUGGGAAAGCCUGAAAAAAACAUGGGGAGAUGAAGAGCAAAUACUUUAGAGGGCAGAGACUUCUGCUUUGGUGAACAGAGAUCUCCUUUAUGAUGUCCUUGUACAUUCCUGGUUGUCUUUAAGAGAAGUGUGGAUGGGGAAGGAGCGUUCAGUGUGGGUCUCCACUCUAUGAUCAAGAACACAUCUGAAAUGGAGCACCAGCUUUGGUCUGGCAGCAAGAAGCUACUGUAGCUGUCACUGAGGACUGAGAUUGACCUCAGCACAUCCCGAGUUCUGAAAAGCUCGAAGACCAUCUCAGAUCUCCUGCCUUCACUGCACGUGAAUUUAUAACACAGCAAAAAUCCCAGGAAAGCAGAUCUCCAGCAGGAGAUUCUGGUGAAUCUUGCACUCUCCUGCUUGUCCCUAACAUGCUCAAAGGGAAAAUAUUUAAAUCUUUGAGAACUAUAUCAAAGAUCCCUUCAGAGCUCAUGGAUGAGGCAGCUGUAGUAACUCUCAUUUUGUGAUGUCAGCUGUCUCCUCUUAAAUGCAUGUGGGGGGGAGAUUCAGCUGGAAUUAGGCUGACAUUCUCUGACUUGAAAUUGGAAAAAUCCUGAAACCAAAAGCAAAGGAGAAAACUGUCCUCCCAGAGAUCAAAUAAAUAUUCAAAGCUCUCACUGUCAUUGUUGAGUGACCUGUCACUACAGUGGAGUAUGAUGGAGCUAAAGGUCUUACUGAUCAGGCAGGCAAAGGAACUGCCUUAUAUCUCUCAGGCUGCUGCAGAAUAUCAGUACAACUGGAGACAGGUACAAGCGUUAUUAAAAAAAAAGUUUUGACAAUAACAGUGCACAGUCCAAAAUAAGACAUCUCCCUCAGGAAGCUGAAGGUGAUCCACUAAGGGAAACCUUUCUACAGCAUGAUGGAAAAGUUGAUAGGAAUACAGAGUUCCUGUUCUUCAACAGAGAUGGAAGAACACUCUGGAGGAAUCAGAACACAGGCAAAGCAUCCUGCAGCACCCAUCUCUGCCCAGGCUUGAGCAGUUACACAGCUGAAAAACAUUGAAAAGCUGGCAUUAGGCUUUAGAUCCAUUAGCAGGGAUUAAUGUAAUGAUAAUUUGCAACUCUCCAGCUCAAAUCCUGCCCCAGUGUGAUCUCCACUACUGCAGGCUUUGCAUCCCUGAGAAAUUAUCUUGGAUACAAAUGAGAAGAUCCAGUCUGCAAACUGGAUAGACACCUUGGGAAGGUUCUCUGCAUAGAACCAGGCAAAGGAAUCCUUUGUUUCAGUGUAAGUGGAGCCCCAGUGAUUUUGAACCCUUCCCUCUUAGUGCAGGAGCUUCCCUUGCAGUGCCAGUCACAUCCUUGGGAGGAUCCACAUCAAACCUCUCUCUGGGUGGAGGGCUGGGCAGAUGGGAGCAGCAAGCCUGGAGGUCACAAGAACGUCACAGAGCAGAUCCCAUGACUGAUGCCUGGGAUAACCCAACUGUGCAAAGAGCACAAGGCCUUUAUAGCCCUGGACCAUUUCACAUGGGCUAAAAUCUCAGGUUGAAGUGACAAUAAACAGGCAGUGACACCUGACAGGAGAUACCCAUCUUACCUAACUCAUGCCAGACCCACAUCACGCAGACAAGAGACAUAUACCAGAUAGGACUCUUCCUUCCAAAAUCAAACACUCCUUUCACAACACUCCAUGAAUUCAGGGGGGAGGAGGCUCUGAACAGCCUCUACACACUCUUCAGUAGAGCUGCACUGCAGCAUCCAGCAACAGGCAGCACUUUAAUGAGGGAAGAUGGACUGCUGGUGAGUAACGGGUCAGCAUCCACACACAGACCCCUGGAGUCACAGCCCCCCUGCUCUCCUUAAUUGACGUAGUGUGUAAUGAACUCACUGGCUGAAAAACUUGAGUGAGUCUCUAUAGCACAGAAGUUCUCACUUUCCUCAUAGUGAAGACAACUUAUUUACAAAAUAAAAAGCAGUUAAAUUACUGCAAGAAAAAUCAAAGUUUACCACAUAGUGUUACAGGUCAAAGAAUACUUAAAGCUGACACUGCAGGGAGAGGAGGAAGCCUCCCUCCACACACUGGUACAGCAUGUGGGGGCACUGUGUGAUGAACCAGAUUGGGAGCAAACACUGCUGAAAACUAAAGAUCAGUUCCUUGAUCCAGUUCACUGCACAAAGAUGUUUGCUGGGACCAGAAAAGGGCAGCCUGGAGGUGAUAACAUGUCCUUUAACAAGUGCCAGGUUAAACAGGUGGCUGGAUCCUGG